rnacentral:rRNA from 1 species
GACGAACGCUGGCGGCGUGCUUAACACAUGCAAGUCGAACGGAGCGAAUGAAAGCUUGCCUUUUAUAAGCUUAGUGGCAAACGGGUGAGUAACACGUAGACAACCUGCCGACAGGAUGGGGACAACAUUCCGAAAGGAAUGCUAAUACCGAAUGAAGUGCAGGGGAGGCAUCUCCCCUGCAUGAAAGAUGGCCUCUUUUUAUGCUAUCACCUGUUGAUGGGUCUGCGUCUGAUUAGCUGGUAGGUGAGGUAACGGCUCACCUAGGCGACGAUCAGUAGCCGGUCUGAGAGGAUGAACGGCCACAUUGGGACUGAGACACGGCCCAGACUCCUACGGGAGGCAGCAGUGGGGAAUCUUCCGCAAUGGGCGCAAGCCUGACGGAGCAACGCCGCGUGAGUGAAGAAGGUCUUCGGAUCGUAAAGCUCCUUUGAUGGGGACGAACGUGCCUAAUGCGAAUAGUUUUACGGCAAUGACGGACCCAUUCGAGGAAGCC